UAUUACUACAAACAAUUUUAAACAAAUUUAAGCUCCUGCAACUUCUGUUUUUAGAAAAUCUAUUGAAAUUCAGCUUCCCCACUUCCUGUAUUUUCAGCAGUUCUUUAAAAUAAUUUCAGCUAUUCUUAUGCCUCUAUCAACAGCAAUUUUUCAAUAUUCAUUUCUGUAUUUUUUUGCAAUAUUUCAAAUUUAUUUCAGCUGUUUUCAUUUCUGCUUUUUCAGCAAAUCUAUUGAAAUUCCUUUCAGCUUCUCCCAUUUCUGUAUUUUCAGCAAUUUCAAAUUCAUUUCAGCUUUUCAGCAAAUGUAUUCAAAUUCCCUUCAACUUUCUGUAUUUUCAGCUAUUUUUAAAUAUUCAGUGCAGCUUUCAGCUUUUUGCAUUCCAACGCAUUUUCAGCAGGAAAUGCCUUUUCUAGUUAUUAUUUAUUAUGUUUCUUCUAUUUCUUCCGCGGCACCUUUCAACUCCUUCACACUUUCAGCUAUUAAAAUCCUUCAAAUAUUAAAAUGUUCAGCUCCUUUCUGGCUUGAGGGCUAUGACUUUUCAGCUUUCUACAUCUUAUGCUUGAAUUUAUAUAAAUCAAUAAUCAUUAAUAUUUUAACAUGGUUUUCAAAUGGAGUUUUCUUUCAAAUCCUCCUAAACUUCUUCAACUUUCAGAUUUUUCAGCUUCGCAAAUCUUUCAGCUACAGACACCAUUUCAACUUUCAAAUGUUGACACAAGUCUUAACUAUUUUAUGAAAAAAACUGCUUCUUGAUAUCUAUUGUACUUUUUUCAUAAUCACUGAUUAUGUUUCACUAGUUCUUCGCUCCGUUUCUGACUUUUACAUGAGUGUGUAUUGCGUCUGCUAGAGGGGGACAUCGACGGCUAGAGUGUGGGGCAUCGCAGGAAUCUGGUAAAAAAAAUAUGGAACUUCUGUCC
ensembl:lncRNA